UUAGUAGGGUAGCCUGGGUACGGUUAAAACAGGGUACGGUUGAAACAACUCUAAUAAUUCCUAAACUAUGGGCGGUACGACGAGGGGUCCAAGGGGAGAGGGACGCGGCUUGCGAGUCCAGAGAUGAAUCACAGUGCUUCGUCGCAUUUCGCGCGCCGUGCACGUGUGUAGGUGGCCUCAUUGUAUUUUUUUCGACAAAAAUGCCGAGAGUACGUGUAAGGAAGACUUUGAGGGCGCAGAUCGACUUGUUGCAGUACAAAAACGCUUAUGAAGAGGUAAAAGCAGGAUAUUCAUUGCGGACAGCUGCGGAGAAUUUUUGUUUGGUUAAUUUUAAUUGAAAAGUGUUAUUAGUUCUGUUGCUUUUGUUAACUACGUUUUUUUUUAUUAUUUAGUUUUAAUAUUGUCACUGAGAACGUUAGGUUAAGGCUGAUUAAAGUUAUCGUUAAGUUUAUUAAAACAUUGAAGACUGUGAUUAAAGUUAUCGUUAAGUUUAUUUAAACAUUGAAGACUGUGAUGUUAAAAUGCUAUAAUUAUUAAGAAUUACAAUAAAUGAUGAUUAAAACUUGUUCAAAUGUAUUAUUUUUGUAUCAUUUGCAUAUGUUUCAACUGACCCCAGUCACUGUUUCAACCGUCCCUGGUAUGGGGACGGUUGAAACAAAUUCUUUUUUUAUUUCGAUUUGGUUUUAC